GAUGAACGCUGGCGGCGUGCCUAAUACAUGCAAGUCGAGCGAAUGGAUUAAGAGCUUGCUCUUAUGAAGUUAGCGGCGGACGGGUGAGUAACACGUGGGUAACCUGCCCAUAAGACUGGGAUAACUCCGGGAAACCGGGGCUAAUACCGGAUAACAUUUUGAACCGCAUGGCUCGAAAUUGAAAGGCGGCUUCGGCUGUCACUUAUGGAUGGACCCGCGUCGCAUUAGCUAGUUGGUGAGGUAACGGCUCACCAAGGCAACGAUGCGUAGCCGCCCUGAGAGGGUGAUCGGCCACACUGGGACUGAGACACGGCCCAGACUCCUACGGGAGGCAGCAGUAGGGAAUCUUCCGCAAUGGACGAAAGUCUGACGGAGCAACGCCGCGUGAGUGAUGAAGGCUUUCGGGUCGUAAAACUCUGUUGUUAGGGAAGAACAAGUGCUAGUUGAACAAGCUGGCACCUUGACGGUACCUAACCAGAAAGCCACGGCUAACUACGUGCCAGCCGCCGCCGUAA
rnacentral:rRNA from 1 species